ensembl:ncRNA C14B9.13 ncRNA
CAAAAAUAUCUGCACGAAGUGGGAUUCGAACCCACGCACCCAUACGAGUACCAGAACACCCAGUUAACCUCGAACUUGAGGCAAGCAAUGUACGCUUGAGUCUGGCGCCUUAGACCACUCGGCCAUCCGUGCUUCGAGAGUAA